rnacentral:rRNA from 1 species
AUGAACGCUGGCGGCGUGCUUAACACAUGCAAGUCGAACGGUCGCAAGACAGUGGCGCACGGGUGAGGAACACGUAGCUUAUCUGCCCCAAAGUGUGGGAUAACGCUCCGAAAGGAGUGCUAAUACCGCAUAAGCUCCCGGACUAUAGAGGUCUGAGAGAAAAGGAGCAAUUCGCUUUGGGAGGAGGCUGCGGCCCAUCAGGUAGUUGGUGUGUGGUAACGGCGCGCCAAGCCGACGACGGGUAGGGGACCUGAGAGGGUGAUCCCCCACACUGGGACUGAGGCACGGCCCAGACUCCUACGGGAGGCAGCAGUGAGGAAUAUUGCUCAAUGGGCGCAAGCCUGAAGCAGCGACGCCGCGUGGGUGAAGAAGGCCUUCGGGUCGUAAAGCCCUUUUCUGCGUGACGAGGCAAAGGACGGUAGCGCAGGAAAAAGUCUCGGCUAACUACGUGCCAGCAGCCGCGGUAAAACGUAGGAGGCAAGCGUUAUCCGGAGUUACUGGGCGUAAAGCGUGCGUAGGCGGGUGAGUAAGUGGGUGGUGAAAGCGCCCGGCUAAACCGGGCGAGGACCAUUCAGACUGCUUGUCUAGAGGCGGAUAGAGGGGUGCGGAAUUCCGGGUUGUAGCGGUGAAAUGUGUAGAGAUCCGGAGGAACACCAGUGGUGCAAACGGCGCCCUGGGUCCGAACUGACGCUGAUGCACGAAAGCGUGGGGAGCGAACGGGAUUAGAGACCCCGGUAGUCCACGCCGUAAACGAUGUCAACUAGGUGUCCGCUGGGCUACGGUUCAGGGGGUGCCGACGCUAACGCAAUAAGUUGACCGCCUGGGGAGUACGGUCGCAAGGCUAAAUCUCAAAGGAAUUGACGGGGGCCCGCACAAGCGGUGGAGCAUGUUGUUUAAUACGUCACUAACCGUAGAACCUUACCAGGGCUUGACAUCCGUCGCUACCCUGUGAAAGCAGGGGUUCGGAGCAAUCCGACGGCGAGACAGGUGUUGCAUGGCUGUCGUCAGCUCGUGUCGUGAGAUGUUGGGUUAAGUCCCGCAACGAGCGCAACCCUCACCCCAUGUUGCCAGCGGAUCAUGCCGGGAACUCUUGGGGAACUGCCCGGGUAACCGGGAGGAAGGUGGGGAUGACGUCAAGUCAGCAUGGCCCUUACGUCCUGGGCUACAAACAUGCUACAAUGGGCGGUAGACAAAGGGAUCCGAAGUCGCGAGAUGGAGGCAAUCCCAAAAAUCCGCUCCCAGUUCAGAUCGCAGGCUGCAACUCGCCUGCGUGAAGUCGGAAUCGCUAGUAACCGCAGAUCAGCGAAGCUGCGGUGAAUACGUUCCCGGGCCUUGUACACACCGCCCGUCACGUCACCUGAGUUGUCUGCACCCGAAGUCGGUGGGGUAACCCGCAAGGGGACUAGCCGCCGAAGGUGUGGGGAGCGAGGGGGACG